rnacentral:rRNA from 1 species
UUAGGAAUUUUGCGCAAUGGACGAAAGUCUGACGCAGCAAUGCCGCGUGAAGGAUGAAGGCCCUCGGGUUGUAAACUUCUUUUAGUUGGAGCGAAAUAAAUGACGGUACCAACAGAAAAAGCACCGGCUAACCCUGUGCCAGCAGCCGCGGUAAUACAGGGGGUGCAAGCGUUACUCGGAAUCAUUGGGCGUAAAGAGCGUGUAGGCUGUCUAUUAAGUUUGGUGUGAAAUCCCUGGGCCCAAUCCGGGAAGUGCAUUGAAUACUGAUAGACUAGAGUAUGGGAGGGGUGAGUGGAAUUCCUGGUGUAGAGGUGAAAUUCGUAGAUAUCAGGAGGAACAACAGUGGCGAAGGCGACUCACUGGACCAUUACUGACGCUAAGGCGCGAAAGCGUGGGGAGC